AUUGAACGCUGGCGGCAGGCCUAACACAUGCAAGUCGAGCGAGCGGCGGACGGGUGAGUAAUGUAUGGGGAUCUGCCUGAUGGAGGGGGAUAACUACUGGAAACGGUAGCUAAUACCGCAUACCAUCAGAUGUACCCAUAUGGGAUUGGCUUGUUGGUGGGGUAACGGCUUACCUAGGCGACGAUCCCUAGCUGGUCUGAGAGGAGGACCAGCCACACUGGAACUGAGACACGGCCCAGACUCCUACGGGAGGCAGCAGUGGGGAAUAUUGCACAAUGGGCGCAAGCCUGAUGCAGCCAUGCCGCGUGUAUGAAGAAGGCCUUCGGGUUGUAAAGUACUUUCAGUGGGGAGGCGUUACCUACAGAAGAAGCACCGGCUAACUCCGUGCCAGCCGCCGCGGUAAUAC
rnacentral:rRNA from 1 species